UAAAAGUGCCUUUUUUUUCUCUUAUUAACUGAAUUGGCGGCGGGGUAGCAAUCAGAAAGUGAACAUGAGCAUAAAGCAGAAAGAGACAAACAAGGGGUCACGACUGCAGGGGAUUUGUUUCCUUGGGCGCGAAGGUUGGUAAUAUAAUUUCGUUUGUAGUUUCUUUUUAUAGUUCAAGAGAACAAUUGUUCACAGUUGUAAUCUUUGUAACUGAGAGGCUAAGGCAGGAGGAUUGGGUUUGUGUGCCUUGGCUAAACAUUGAACUUUUAUCUCCAAAAGAACAAGAAGACAGGGUGAUUGCACUUGGACUGUUAACCUGGGUCAGAAGGUGCUCUGUGUACAGCAAAGGACGCAUCUUAGACCCGUUAAAGUUAAAGGUUGAAGGAGUGAAUUUCACUACCCAACCAGUUUUAACAUUCUAGCCUGGAUUAGGGAAGAACCCACAAAUCGUCCUGCCCCGCCCCUGCUGCCCCUCCCCAGCAACACACACCUCUAGCUGAGGAACUGUAGACAGUUGGUGACUGCCAGGGGAGAAAAAGUCAGUCAGUUUUCUUAGGGAGAGUGGUCCUUGGUGUGUUGACUGACCAGGGGAGGUUUUUACACUGAGGAGUGUAUGGGCAGCUCUGACUGGACUCCAUGGGUUAUUGAAGGAGAGGAAAGGGGGAGGGGGAAGAGGGAGAGAGGAGGGAGGGAGAGAGAAAAGGAGGAGGAAGUUCCAGUUGGGAGAGAACUCUGAGGGGAAUUCUGUGGGAAGGCAGCAGUGGAGAUUAAGUGAGGCUGACUGUGGUUAAUCCAUCCUAUGUAUUAAAUUCUUGAAAUUCUCAAAGAAUAAACAUUUUAAAUAGCUUUCGUUAGGGUAAACUUUUACUGGAGUCCAAAUACACAGAAAGUGAGAAGGGGCCAGGGCAGUGGACUGACUUCUAAGCAUAAGGUCCUGAGUUCAGAUCCCAGCACCCAGGGAAAAGCCUGCUAAUGGGCAGGGGAGGCAGGAGGGUGCCUGGGGCUGGCUGGCCAGCAUUCUGUCUGUCAGAAAUCCUCCAGUUCAUUCCUCAGGUUCAGUGAGGGAGGGAGGGAAACACCAAUGUCACAGAAUGCAAGAUACAUUUACCAUGUGACACAUUUGUUAUUGUGAGACUCAGAGGGUUUUUUUUUUUUUUUUAAACAGAACAUUGAGAGCACUUCUGGGAUGGAGGGUAGGAACAGACACCUAUAAUCUCAGGACUCAUAGCCUGAGACCCAAGUUUUCCAAGUUGAAGGACAGCCUGUGCUACAUAGGAAGUUGUAGCCUGGGCUACAAAGACUGCUUCUGCCCUCUACUUGGAAUCUAGAACAUAAGUUUUUCAGCCAGUUCUGGGAGCAGUGUGUUCUGCUUUCAGGCGUGUAGUGUUUCCUGUCUACUGGUCUUCAGCUGUUCCUGUGGGCACAUGUCCUGAGUCUACCUGGCAGGUCACUUGGAGCAGAAAAGUUGGUCUUACCCCUACUCCCAGUGCAGGAGUUUCUCCUGAGGGGCUGCUUUUGAGUUCUCCGUGCGUGUGGCAACCAGAAGGGCCUGCCUGCCUUUUCCCGGGGCCCCUGUGCUCCUCGGUCCCAGAUGGCAUUAGGUGUUUUCCUCUAGAGUCAGAAAUGUGGGCAAAAUGUAGUCUCUUCUGGCUUCCCAGGCGAGUCUGCCCUUCUGAAGGUUUUGCUCUCCCUCCCACGGGAUUUGGGUGCAGAGAGAUUUUGACCAGGUCCCUUCAGAUCUGGGUGGUGUCUGGACUGCAGGGGACCUGCCGCCUAGGUGCCCCUAUUUUCCAGUUCCCAGAGGCCCUAGACAGUUUCCUCUUAGGCCAGGGAUGUGGGCAGGGGUGGGCAGUACUAGAGGUCUCUCCCGCUCUGAAGUCUCAGGAGUGCCCACUUGUCCAGGUGGUGAGCUCUCUCUCCCACGGGGGUUUGGGAGUAGGGAGCUGUGGGCCAGGAUCAGUGGGGUUCAGUCUCCAGCUAAAACCGGAAGUGUCUGGUCCCAGAGGAAUUUUGCCUCUGUGUGUCCUGAGUCCACCAGGCAGGUCACUUGGAGCAGAAAAGUUGGUCUUACUUCUAUUCCUGGGGCUGGAGUUGCUCCUGGGGGGCUGCUUUUGAGCUCUCCGUGAGGGCAGCAACCAGAAGGGCCUGCCUGCCUUUUCCUGGGGCCCCUGUGUGCCGUGGUCCCAGAUGGCGUUAGGUGUUUUCCUCUGGAGUCAAAAAUGUGGACAGAGUAUUGCCUUUUUUUUUUUUUAAAGUAACUCUAAGACUUGAUGCUCACAAUUGAAGUUUUACUAGGAAAGCUGCUCUAGUUAUAAUGAAAAAAAUGUUAUUAUCAUUUCUAAAAAUCAUAAACAAGAUUUUUAAAUUAUGAAGGCUUUCCUGUGAUGAGACAAUCAGUUUCCCUGAGCAUUGUUAUGUUCUCUCCCCCUCUGGAACCUUCUUAAUGGUUGUUUCAGUUCACAUCUCAGGAAAGGGGCCCUCCCAGGUUAGCUUCGGUUUGUUUUCUGUUUGGUUUGGUCCCCUAGCAGGAAAUGAUGGGCUGGUAAUUUUUAGCAGAGGAGUCUUGGCGAAACUGUAACCUGAGAGGUGUCUUGGGGAGGAGAAAACCAAGACAUCAUUUAUGAGAAACCAAUUUGUUUCCCUGGGGAGAAGGCCUGUAGAUCAUACUGACAUGUGACAUUCAUGUGGAGAGGGGACCCCUCUCCCUGAGAGCUAUUUUAUCCUUAACUAAAUCUCUUUAGUCAUGAGUUACUCUAAGACCCUUCAUUCUACUAGCAGUAGUGGUGGAGGGAAGGGAGGAGGCCUGUGUCCACGGGAGGAGGCGUCACAUCCUAUCAGUGCACAGUUAUGUUUGUUUGUUGAUUUGUUUCCUUGGUAUCUGUGGAUGUCCAUCUGGAUGCCUCCACAGGGUUCCAGUUCAGAUUUUACAUCUGGGUUUUUAAUUAACUCCAACCCCCUUUUUCUGUUUUGGCAAGUCACACAUUGUUAACACACACGUUUGGCACAGACCUAUGAAGACUCCUACUUAAGUUUGGUUUCUAUUGCUGUAAAAAAGUCAUCGUGAGUCCAAAAGUAUGUGGAAAAUGAGUUUACUUAGCUGACUAUCCUGACCAUAUUCUAUCAUUAAGAGGAGCAAAGAUAGAAACUCAAGGGAGGAAGGAAUCUGGAGGCAGGAGCUGGAGCAGAGACCAUGAAGGAUGCUGAUUACUGGCACACACCCAUAGCUUCCUUGCCUACUUUCUUAUCCAACCCAGGAUGACCUUCCCAGAAUGGUGCUGUCCACAGUGGGCUGGGUCCUGCCACAUUAAUUAAUCAAGAAACUACCUCCAAAGGUUUGUCUAUAAAAGAAUCUGAUGGAAUCAUUUUCUCAACUGAGGAACUGAAGCUGCUCUCUCUCUCUCUCUCUCUCUCUCUCUCUCUCUUUCUCUCUCUCUCUCUUUCUCUCCCUCCCCCCCCCCCCCCAGAGUUUCUCUGUGUGGCUCUGGUUGUCCUGGAACUUACUCUGUAAACCAGGCUGGCCUUGGGCAAGCCCCACCAGCUUUUGACAAUGUUCUCUCUUCAUGAUGAACAGAGCUUCCUUCAAGCUGUCAAAAGAACCAACCAGCAAAACCCACACACCCACAAUCGUAACCUCUGUAUUGCAUCACCCAUAGCCUGUGGUACCCAGUGGAUUUCUUGUAAGAUGUAGGAUGGUUAGAGUUUAGUCUCUCAAUACUCCGUGGCCUCUCUGAAACAGACCAUUUACCAGAGGGGUCUUAUUGUCCUGCAUCCUGCCCUGACCUAGAAAGACAAUGACAGAAACACCGCAUGUCCUCUCUGACCAUCACUAUUCUCUUUGCUGUAGCUUGUAAGCUUUGUUGGAAACAGGACCGCUUUAACAGUGUUGUCACUAACUCUGUGCAACAUGGAGCUAAAGCUCAGAUGGUUUAAAAUGAAUUGGGUUUUGUUCUUUCAAGUCGUUAGGUCAAACAAAGGUAGCAAAACCACAAGUAAUUAUGUUGAUAACAUGCAUUUUUUUGUUUUGUUUCUCUGAUAACUGAAGUUGGUUAUAUAAAGCUUUAGAAGCCACUGUUUAUAACUGUUACCAUGAGAUGGUGACACUUCUAUCAACUCUGUCGAUUUACAUAAAGGUUUGAUAUCAAUGUACUGACCAUCCACUUACAAAUUGUAAUAUCCUGCCUAUCAUCUUCAAUGUUUAUGGCUUACAUAUCUUAAAUAGCUUACUCAGUCGCUUGCAACCUACAUAAACUUUCUAGUUUUUCUUUCUGUUCUGGAAAUAUUGUUUAAUCUUUAUACAUAAAUUGUUCUUUAACAUUUCCUCCUCCUUUCUUAUUUAUUUAUUUAUUUACUUUUGUUUUUGGAGACAGGGUCUCUCCGUUUAGCCCCUGCUGCCCUGGAACUCGUUCUGUAGAUCGAGCUGGCCCCAAACUCACAAAGAUUCACCUGCCUCUGCUUCCCAAGUGCUGGGAUUAAAGACAUGCUCCAACAUACUCAAGAUUAUUUUUACAUCUUAUUAUAUUUUUUUAAACUAACUUUUUAGAAAUUCCAUGGGACAUGGGUGUUUGACUGUUUACAGUUACACAUUUAAAAAGCAAUUAUGUCUUUAUCAUCAGGAUACGGAAGAAGAGUAAAAUGCAAUUUUUUAAACCACUAACAAGAAUAUGGUAGUUUAAAGUUUGCCUUUGUUGUUGAUGUAGAAAUCUACUGGUGAGUUUCACUAUCUCAGUAAGACGCCUGUCAGCUUCAGAACAAGGCGUCCUUGUUUGUUCACAUCUGAAACAUAUUAGGGGUGAAGUGGAAAUGUAAGGGAUCCAUGGAAAGUCAGUUGUGUUGGAUAGUAUUUUGCUGGGGCAAACACGCAAGGGAGUGUUUUCCUGAAGUCGACACAGGUGAGAGGCUAAGGCAGACUCGUGAAGGAACGUUUUGCUAAAGGGAGGUUACAGGAGAGAGGAUGUUCUGCUAAAGCAAGCACGUGAAAGGACACAUGAAGGGUUCUUUGUCAAUGACACUCACUUACUGGUCUGCUUUACAUUGCAUUUUAGCUCCAAGGACCAGAAUGCCAAGGUUUCCUUUACAGACAUGUGUGUAUGGGCAGGCCAGCAGGCUAGGCAGAGUACUGAGUCCAAGUCCUGAUGUGAUUAAUGGGCAGAACACUUCAUCACUUUUUCUUUGUCUCCUGUGUGUGGUGGCUUAAGAUUUCUAUUGGGUGCUGCAAACUAUGGGCAGGGAGCUAAAAGUGUGAAGUCUGGGGGAGGCGAUUCCAGGAAUCACCUGGUGAAAUCGAAAGUAUGCUGGAGCACAGUGACCAUCCUGCCUGCCUCUUUUCUGCUUUUCUUUCCCUUGGGUGAAAAGGAGACACAUGGGGCACACUGGACAGACUCCUGCCAUGGCAGUAGCCAAGCACUCCUUUUUCGAUUGUAUUAUGGCCUGCUCUACAAGAUGCAAAACCUGUGUGGUGCUGUGGCUAGUGAGGCCAUAUGUAUCGGGAGAAUCUGCUGUUAUUCUUCUAAAUGGAUAUGGUAUUGAACUGACUUCUAAUGAGUUACUGUUACACCUGUAGAUUAGUACAUCUCAGACAUUAAUUCGGAGAAGCUUGGUUUCGAUUCUUUGAUGGACAGAGACCCACAACAUCAGUAGAAGGUGAUGGAUUGACGCAGAGACCCCCAACAUGCAGAGAAAAGAGACUGCAAAGGAUCCAACCCUGAACAGGAAGUCUGCAUCACACCUCUCCUCCCAAGGCUUAGGGAUCACGGUGAGGUCAGGUGAAAGACUGUAAGAGCCGGAAGCAGUGGGUACAGGGAAGCAGGGCCAUCCAGUCACAAUUGUGCAGUGACACACGUGAAUGCAAAACAGUUGUGACAACAUGUGAAACACUUGACCUAGAUAAAGGCAGCAACAUCCCAGUAUGGAAGGGAGAGGUGGACAGGAAGUCCCACCCUUAGCUCAGGAGCUAUUCGCAGCUGCUGGCUGCUGGGAAUGGGGAGCCAUUUUUCUUUAAAGAUGAAGCCUCUGGAAACCAGCCUUUGCUUCAGUGUAUGGCCCUAUACACAGGCACCCGUAGACAGUCUACGGUGGCCCUGUUUAUAAAAAGCAAAACAAAGCAUGAGGCGGGAUAGGAGGAGAAGUGAGCCUGACAGGAAAUGGAGCAGCUGCUUUUCAGAUGCUCAUACAGCACCACUUGCAGGAGUUUGUUCAGCCUUCAGUUUCCAGAGUGAUGAGAGUCCAUCUUGGCAGGGGGUUAUGGCAGCAGGCGGCAGGCAUGGAUGUGGGAUGAGGAAGCCAAAUGCUCAAGUGUUCCCAUGAAUUCACAAAGCAGGGAGAGAUUCACAAGUGGGGCAAGACUAUGGCCACCCAAUGAUGCCCAGUGACACACUUGCCUCAUCACAUCUCUACCUCACACAGCACAAGCAAUUGUGAACCCAGCGUCCCCUAAUGCUCAGGGACAUUUCUCAUUCAAAAAUCCCCACGGAAGAGGAAUUUGGGGGGAGGGGAAGAAUAGGGGUGAACUUGAUCACCACACCUUACAGGCAUUUAUAUACCUCAAA